CGAAAGCGGAGAAAUCCACUAAGAAAUACACAACCCCAGGCAGUCACGUAAGGAAAAGUGUCUCACCGAGAAUUGUUGAAAUAAGCAACUUUUGUUUCUUUGUAUCUGGUUGCAAGAUAAAGGCAUCAAAGGGUAUUUUAAAGGGGUACUCCAGAGGGGAAAAAAAAGUUUUAAAAUCAACUGGUGCCAGAAAAGAUAACAUAUUACCUAUGCUGAUCCCCUCUACUUUCUAGGGAUAUAUAAUACUGCCACCAAAUAAAGGCUUCAAUCUCAAAAACAACACCAAGGAGAACAUAAAUACUCAGAAAAAGCUUCAAUAUAACUGGAAAAUUGCUUCUCUUUCGCAGCCCCAGCCGAUGUUAGGAGCCUGUUAAUCACAUUGGAUACACACUGUUAGCUGGAAAACUUUAUAGAAUCUCCGGUUGUCAGAAUUUUUUUUUUUUGCCUCACACGAAAGAGAAAAAUGAGAUCAAAUCUUAAUAUCAGUCUUUUUCAAUGACUUUUGUGGAAAAUGAUAUAUAUAUUUUAUUGGAAUUAUUUCUUCACCUGCCAUCUGUUAGAACGCUGGCAUUUUGUGCUUCUGCGCCGCCACUGAGAAUGAAUAAUACAUAUGUACCUGUAGUUCACUGCAGAUUAGUAAAGGCCACCAUGCCAUUCCUGAAAUGCUCUUUAUUUUUGUGUUUGCUUAGAGUAUCUCUGACCUUACUGCUGGAAUAUUCACAUUUUCUAAAGUUUAAAGGCUGUUACAGCUUGAUCUUUAUUACUUUUUUUAAAAUGUAUUUUCUAUGUUAGUUAUUCAUUUAUUGUAUU